rnacentral:rRNA from 1 species
AUUGACCGCUGGCGGCAGGCCUAACACAUGCAAGUCGAGCGAGCGGCGGACGGGUGAGUAAUGUCUGGGAAACUGCCUGUUGGAGGGGGAUAACUACUGGAAACGGUAGCUAAUACCGCAUACCAUCAGAUGUGCCCCACUGGGCUUAGCUAGUAGGUGGGGUAACGGCUCACCUAGGCGACGAGCCCUAGCUGGGCUGAGAGGAUGACCAGCCACCAUGGAACGGGGACACGGUCCAGACUCCGACGGGAGGCAGCAGUGGGGAAUAUUGCACAAUGGGCGAAAGCCUGAUGCAGCCAUGCCGAGUGUGUGAAGAAGGCAUUCGGGUUGUAAAGCACUUUCAGCGGGGAGGCGUUACCCGCAGAAGAAGCACCGGCUAACUCCGUGCCAGCAGCCGCGGUAAUAC